rnacentral:rRNA from 1 species
GUCGAACGCUGGCGGCGUGCUUAACACAUGCAAGUCGAACGGCAAGGCCCUGCUUUUGUUCUCUGCUCGAGUGUGGAACGGGUGAGUAACACGUUAGUUACCUUCCCUUUACUUUUGGAUUACCUUAGGAAACUUGGGCCUAUUCCCGCUUGGUGUUUCUGCUGCAUGGUGGGGGUUGGAAAGUUCUGGCGGUUUGGGAUGGACUCGUGGCUGAUCAGCUCGUUGGUAGGGUAGUGGCUUACCAAGGGUCCGACGGGUAGCCGGACUGAGAGGCUGAUCGGCGACAUUGGAACGGAGACACGGCCAAGACGACUAAGGGAGGCAGCAGUAGGGAAGGGUAGGCAAAGGGGGAAAGUAUGACGAAGCCAGGCGGCGUGAGAGACGAAGGCGUCCGGAUCGUAAAGACGGGUUACGAGGGAAGAACAGAUGUGGAAUGAGACGAGGAGUGAGUGACGGUAACGGAUAAAGAAGCACCGGCUAACUACGUG